UUCACUUUCAUGCCCAAACAAAUUCCAUUACAAGUAGAUUUUGUACCUGUAGCUUCGUGUUGUCUACCCGCCACCCGGCUGGCUCUUUCAUAACCCCUUUUUUAAAACAAAUUAAAUGAAACUCUCGCAGAUAUAAAAAAAUUCAAAUCAUUAACAGUAACAAAAUCUCUAUCAAAUUCCGCUAAUCAAGUUCAAGCAGCCACCGAACUCGGCUCCGGGGGCAUCCGCGGCAUAGGGCGUGCGCCUUCUCGUGCGUGAGACGAUGCGUAUCAUUGCGAAUCUAGUGACGUUGAGUGCGUCGAUCGGCGAGGCGGCUGUGGUUGUGGAUAAUGUGAGGUCGUCAUCGUUUGGAUUGGCGGAACGACCACAGUUUGUUGAGUUGAGCUUGAGGUUGAUCUGUGCAGAGGAAAUCGGCGGUCGGAGAUGGAACUACUUGUUGGAGAAAGACGGUGCUAGAAAGUUUAAGAGGAAUUCUUUCGUGUUGUUUCUUUGCAGAGUCCUCAAGCUCCUGCUGAGUCUUUGCAUGGAUGAGUCCAUAUAACAUGGCAAGGGCAUCUUGUGUCUAUCGAAAAUGGAGAUAAACGAUUUGUAACCCUGUGUUUCGGCCUAAUGCGUGCUUAAAGGCCUGCCUACUGGAGUGGUAGAAAACUGUAAGUUAUUAUGAUCAAAAUAUGAUGGUUCAUGGAGGAAAACGUGGCUUUUAGGACCGAGCUUCCGUACUGAUGGUCUCUAUGUGAGUGGGAACACAUAUAUUUGUGCAGGAUUUGCUGAGUGGAAGAUUACCAAUCCGGUUCACAUGGUGUUGUUUUGUUCAGCAAGGACUCAAUUGAAAUUCAGUUCAUCUUAUCACCCUCAAACGGAUGGCUAGGUGGAGGUUGUUAAUCGCACAUGUAAGACUUAUCUUCCUUGUUUCUACGCUCAACGUCCUCACAUGUGACCCAUAUGGUUAGGUUGGGCUAAAUUUUGGCAUAAUACCUCUUUCCAUUCGUUGGCUAGAAUGACACCAUUCCAUGCUAUUUAUGGUCGUGAUCCACCCUUGCUAAUUCAUUGGGGUGGAAAAGCCUUCAAAGGUCCCUAAGCUAACAAACGUUGCUGAGAUGUUUACUACCAAGUGGGGGAUCAAGUUUAUUUGAAAUUACAACCAUACAAAUGGUGGUUUCUUGCACUAAAGCCAAAUGAAAAGCUAAGACCUCGGUAUUAUGGUCCAUAUGUAGUUUUGGAGCACAUUGGUCAAGUUGCUUAUAAAUUACAGUUGCCAGCUUCUGCCAAGAUUCAUGAUGUGUUUCAUGUUUCUCAAUUAAAGAAGCAUGUAGGACUUGAAGUCCAACCUCAGCAAUUACCUGAAGGUUUUAGAAUGAUUUCAAAUAGGUGGUGAACCCUGAAGAAGUGUUGGAUUAUAGAUAUUCAGUUAUAGGUCAUCUUGAGUUGUUGAUCAAAUGGCAGGGGUUGCGGCCUUGCGAUAAUACAUGGGAAUCCUAUUCCAAUCUCUUGCAAUUUUUUUCCCCACCUACACCUUAAGGGCAAGGUGUCUCUCAAUGGGCAGGAUAAUGUUAGAGCUUGGAUGUACGUGGGGAAAGGGAUGAAGAGAAGGGAAGAUAGCACAAGUGGUAGAGAAACAGAGGAUACAUCUGGUAAGUUAUAACAGAGGAAGUUUACUUCAGCUUACGAAAUAUUGUGAGGACCACAAGGCUAACAAAGGUGAUGUGGCAGCGAAAGGGGUGGCAGUUAAAGUGGCAGGAAAAGAACGCAAUAUAAAAGUGGUGAAAAAGAGCGAUUAUGGGGAGAGAAUUAAGAAUUAGUAGAGUAACCUUGGGAGAGCCCAACUCUCAAAUGCUGGAAUUAGGCAGUGAAUUUGAGAAAAUUGCUCUUGAUUGUGAGUUCCAGUGUGAGCACUAGUGUAACACAGCUUUGUAAUAAACAUUGCCAUUCAAUACAAAUUUCAUUUCAUA